UUUACGUCUGUAGUUUAUAGGAUGAGCACCUCCGAAGGAGGUUUGAGCCGAGCGCAGCGAGACAACGUUGCUUUAGCAACGGCCCGCAGGGCGGCAUCGCAGAUGCAGUAAUCCUCUCUCGCCGACCA
rnacentral:sRNA from 2 species